rnacentral:lncRNA from 1 species
GAUUUACUGCAUUUUCCAACCUCAUGCUUUGAAGCUGUCACACUAUUCUUCUUUUGUUUUCUUCUAGAUGAGAAGAAGAAAGCUGUCUUCAAACAGACAUCAGAAGUCCUUAUCCGAGCUGCCAAAAGAGACAAUGGUUGCAGUCAAGUAAAAGGACAGUUUCUGCUUUAAGAAGGAGAGAAGAUGUGAAAAAUUGGAUAUGGACUUUGGAGAGGGACUGAGGGGCACAACUACCCAUUGGUUAAAUUUUGAAACAGUGCUUGGGAAAGGUGACUUGGAACUGAGAGCAAUAUCCCCUCUGGCCUUUCACCUCAUUCUUGAUGAGCACAGAUAGGGACCUCCUAGUUUUCUGCUUCUGCUAAGUUAUGGAGUCUUCCAUUAUUGCAAUGUCCUGAACCUGGCAUUCACCUGAAGUUCCUCCACAACAAUAAUCUCAUGACCCAUCUUGGAGUCCAGAGAUCUAGUAAUAUGCCAUCAUCAUCACAUCUCUAGUAGGCCCUGUGUAAUAUUUAUUGGGAAAAGACUGGGGAAAUGAAAAACUGGGGGAUAACAGAAGGUUUGUUGUGGGGUAUGGAGGAGUUGAGGGGAGAGAAGGAAUAUUGCUCGGUGAGACAAAGGAGAGAAAUGCUUCCUGCAGAGGAAGCAGCAGGGGUCUGAUAAGGACUGUUUGUCAUUGAAUGACUAAACUGAUGUUCAGCUCCCUCUAUGCCCAGAAAAGAUAGUCCACUUAUCUGACGGCGAAUUCAAAUAACAUAAAGUUCAAUAACCAGUUGAGGCUGGAGAGAUAUCAGGAAGGAGGGGCAAGGGAGGUCCCUAAAUAAGGUUGGAGUCUGUCUCAGCUUUUAGAGCUGAGGCCAGGCCUCACUGGCUGGAGGAGGGUUUCUCCCAAUCCUGUCCUCUGUGCUAAUUUUGUCAAAUUCAGAAUCUUAGCAGUAGACAGAAAGUAAACAAGAACAAUUCUAACCUUCAGAAGACUGUGUCUUCGGGCUGAACAGAGUAGAGGUGC